AACCAUAGAAACCUGCGGAGUACCUGCGGAGGGAUCAUUACCGAGUGUGGCCCCAUUUUUAAAACAAAUAGGGGUACCUCCCGUCCUUUGCAGGGCCCUUUGGGGCUUUUUGAACUUUGCUUCGGCGGGUUUUAUCCCGCCGGAACACCUCAAGAAAAUCUUUUUAAAAAUACUGUCGUCUGAGCAUUUACAAAAUAAAACAAAACUUUCAACAAUGGAUCUCAGAUCGGAAGAGCACAC
rnacentral:misc_RNA from 1 species